rnacentral:tRNA from 1 species
GGAGAGGUGGCCGAGUGGUCGAAGGCGCUCCCCUGCUAAGGGAGUUUUCAAUUUCCUCUCUCUCCA